CUGUGGUGAUGAAUUUUGAAUUCCAAAAUUUUACUUGUGGAUUACAAAUGGAGCUUUUUAACACUGAACAGU